rnacentral:rRNA from 1 species
CCAGCAACUUGGAUGAAUGAAAAACGCUAGCAAACGUUUUUAUAGUAACUCCGUUACAUUAAGUUCUAGGUAAAUUUUGAUUAUGACAUUAUUUAUCUAUAAGUCUUGACUAAUUCACGUGCCAGCAGUCGCGGUAAGACGUGUAAGACAAGUGUUAUUCAUCUUUAUUAGGUAUAUUGGGUACUCAGACAGUUAAUUAAGCCGAUAAGGUACUAAUUAUACUAGAGUUUUAUGAGAAAAGGCUAGAACGGUGAGUGUAGUGAUAAAAUACGUUGAUACCACUUAGAGACUGACAACGGCGAAGGCGACCUUUUAUGUAAAAACUGACGUUAAAGUACGAAGGCUCAAGAUAAGAAACAGGAUUAGAUACCCCAGUACUGUGGGCAGACAAUGAUGAGUGUCAUAUGUAAGUAUAAAUAUAAUUUUUCAGAAAGUUAUCUAA